rnacentral:rRNA from 1 species
UCUAAAAAAAACUUGGCCGGGGUAAGGUAGAAUAAUCACUUGUCUUUUAAAUGGAGACCUGUAUGAACGGCAAAACCUUUUCAAACUGUCUCCCUCCCUACCUUUUAAACUCCUUUUCACGCGAAGAAGCGUGAAUACAUCAGAAAGACGAGAAGACCCUGUCGAGCUUCAGCCAAUAAGUGAGUAACAAAACCUAUUUAACAUCACCCAAAGGCUUUGGUUGGGGCAACCAUGGAGAACAUUAAUCCUCCAGAACAAAGACGAACUCUCUUCCCUACUAACGAACUAAAGAACCAGGCUGGUAAUCGGAAAAAGUUACCGCAGGGAUAACAGCGUCAUCCCCUUUAAGAGUCCUUAUUGACAAGGGGGUUUGCGACCUCGAUGUUGGAUUGGGGCUCCCUUAGGGUGCAGAAGCUCUAAACGGUUAGACUGUUCGUCUAUUAAAGCCCUACGUGAUCUGAGUUC